UGGGGAAUAUUGGACAAUGGGCGCAAGCCUGAUCCAGCAAUGCCGCGUGUGUGAAGAAGGUCUUAGGAUUGUAAAGCACUUUCGACGGGGACGAUGAUGACGGUACCCGUAGAAGAAGCCCCGGCUAACUUCGUGCCAGCAGCCGCGGUAAUACGAAGGGGGCUAGCGUUGCUCGGAAUGACUGGGCGUAAAGGGCGCGUAGGCGGCGAACCAAGUUAGAUGUGAAAAUCCUGGGCUCAACCUGGGGACUGCAUUUGAUACUGGUUUGCUAGAGUUCGGAAGAGGGUAGUGGAAUUUCCAGUGUAGAGGUGAAAUUCGUAGAUAUUGGAAAGAACACCGGUGGCGAAGGCGGCUACCUGGUCCGACACUGACGCUGAGGCGCGAAAGCGUGGGGAGCAAACAGGAUUAGAUACCCCCGUAGUCC
rnacentral:rRNA from 1 species